rnacentral:rRNA from 1 species
GACAGAGGGUGCAAACGUUGCUCGGAAUUACUGGGCGUAAAGCGCGUGUAGGCGGGUUUUCAAGUCAGAUGUGAAAUCCCUGGGCUCAACCCAGGAACUGCAUUUGAAACUGGGAGUCUUGAGUAUCGGAGAGGAAAGUGGAAUUCCUGGUGUAGCGGUGAAAUGCGUAGAUAUCAGGAGGAACACCGGUGGUGUAGACGGCUUUCUGGACCGUAACUGACGCUGAGACACGAAAGCGUGGGUAGCAAACAGG